rnacentral:rRNA from 1 species
CCAGCACUGAAGCUCAUAGUUGUUAACAAUUAUAGAGCAAUGUAGUGUUUAGGAGAACUCGUUUAACCUAAGUAUUUAUAAGCGCUGUCCAAGUCCUUCUUGAAGGGGGCCAAUAACCCAUAGAGGGUGCCAGGCCCGUAGUGACCGUUUAUAUAUUUGGGUGAGUUUCUCCUUAAAGUCGGGUUGCUUGAGAGUGCAGCUCUAAGAGGGUGGUAAACUCCAUCUAAGGCUAAAUAUUACUGCGAAACCGAUAGCAAACAAGUACCGUGAGGGAAAGUUGAAAAGAACUUUGAAGAGAGAGUUCAAGAGUACGUGAAACUGUUCAGGGGUAAACCUGUGAUUCCCGAAUGAUCGAACGGAGAGAUUCAAUUACCUUACCGAUUAUGUCCAUCUAGUAAUGUAUUAAUAGUUUAAAGCUAUAAUAAUGUGACAUUAUAUAUUCUAUGGAUUUUUAAUUUAUAGUAUUUUAUAGUGCACCAUUCUUGUAUUAUGCUAGAUUAUAGUCGGAGGUAUGCACUUCUCUCCUUGUAGAAAACGUCAUAACCCAUUGGAUAUUGUUAUUAUGUGGUUGUCUAAGUUAAUAUUAUGGAGAUUAUGGCAUCAUAUUUUACGAUAUGUGGGUUCAUAACCUAUAUUAUACUGACAUCUAUCCGAUGGUAUAAUUAUGAUGAUAGAUCGCUUAGUGCGUUUAGACAUAUGACAUAUAAUUAUAUGAUGUAUUAACUAUGAGUUUUUAGAAAUUGGAUUUUAUGCCGAUUCUAAACAUAUAGUAUUGUUGGUCAUAUUGUUCUCAAACCGUUAUCUUAUCAUCAGUUAAUGGCGUUUAUGUUUUGGGUAAUUACAGGACCCGUCUUGAAACACGGACCAAGGAGUCUAGCAUGUGCGCGAGUCAUUGGGACUAACAAAACCUAAAGGCGUAAUGAAAGUAAAUUAUAUAAUUUACUUGUGAAUUAUAUAUAAGGGAAGAUGGUUAAUGAAAUAUAUAUUAACCCGCAUUCCCGGGGCGUCGCAUACUUAUUGCAAGUUGCGGCGCACCUAGAGC